rnacentral:lncRNA from 1 species
UGAUGUGAUAUGAUUUUUUGAAUAGGGGUGUGACAAUUUCAUGAUUUUCAUUACCAUGCUUCUUGAACUCAAAAUGGUCUGGAUUUUUGCAUGAACAUACUUAUGGAUAUUGGGAAUACAUGUGAAUUUUUCUGGGAUUAUUGAUGGCAUUUCCUAUUUGAUUGGAAUUUUCUCCCCUGUUUGAUCAUUUGUUGACUUUUUGUGAUACAUGAUUUCU